CUUCUCUCUAAUCCCUGGAUGAGGCAAGAGUGCUAGAUUGAAGAGAGACUCAAAUUGGCUAACCAUGGACUUGGACAAGUAAUCUGACUCUAUGAGCCUCAGUUUCCUUUUCUGGAAAACCCAGGGAGUGGUGACUGUAAAGAUUACUCAAGCAGCUGAAUCACAGUGAUAGUGGUUCUAACUUCAGUGUCUGAUUUUUCUCAACUCCACUUCCUGGGUGUCUGCGUUUCCUGGUUCUCCUACUCUUAAUUCUGGUCUGCAUUAUUUCUAUCCCUUUUGUUCCUUUUUAACACACCAGUUAUGGAGUCACAGUAAAAAGGGGAAUUUUCCAGUCUUCACUCAAGCCAGAGUCCUCCCACUCAGUAUCGUGUAUACAUUGCCCCAAAUCACUCAGCCUGAGGACUCUGACUUCCGGGAUCACAAGAGAACAGUAGAGGGGUGGGGCUCUCAGCACGUGACCCUCACCCUGCAGCAUGGGGUUAAAUAUCCUCAUUUUCUCAGUAAACACGCAGAGGAUCUUGGUUACAGUAUGUUCCUUUUAGACAGUAUGGACUGCAACUUUAGAAUCAGAUCUCUGCUCCUUGGUUUUACCCAGAAGGAGGAAAAGGCCAUACAAAGAGAUCUUUUGUUUAUUUUAUGUACCAGAGGAUUGUCUUGCAGGUUUUUCCACUCUGCUGUCCCUGUAUUAUUUCUUUCCAGGUUUCAUAAAAAAAUAAUGGCUGUCAUAAAACAGCCACCAUGUGCUGACAACUUGCUUGGCAACAAGCCUAGUUCUAGACGCUGGAUCUACGUUACCCCACGUAACCCUCUCAGUGAAUGCAGCUGUUUGGCACCGAUACCCUCCAUCUACACUUGAGGAAACUGAGGCUUCGAGAAGCCAUAUGACCUUAUUCUCGGGACCCUCUCUACCAGACAGUCACCAGUCAGCCCCUGGAGUGGGCUUGGUUUGUUCUCCCCAAGGUCCUCUCAGCUUCCCCACCUCCAGGGGUGGAGGAAUGUCUGCUGCCUUUCUGAC
rnacentral:lncRNA from 1 species